CCCUUAGAUGUUCUGGGCCGCACGCGUGCUACACUGAGUGGAUCAGCGGGUCAGGUUGCGCGAAAGCGUUUCCUAAUCUUUAAAUCCGCUCGUGAUGGGGAUUGACGGUUGCAAUUUUCUGUCAUGAACGAGGAAUACCUUGUAAGCGCGGGUCAUCAUCCCGCGCUGAAUACGUCCCUGCGCUUUGUACACACCGCCCGUCGCUCCUACCGAUUGAGUGGUCCGGUGAGGCUUUGGGAUCUGAGCGGAAAGAGCGUUUCGCUGUUUCUGCUCGGAAAACUCAGUCGAACCUUAUCAUUUAGAGGAAGGAGAAGUCGUAACA
rnacentral:rRNA from 1 species